UUGCAUUGAGGAAUCCAUCUCCUGCACACAUCAAAAUGUCUAAGCCGAGGAGAUUGGAAGGGAAGGUUGCAAUAAUAACAGGAGCAGCCAGUGGGAUUGGGGAGGCAGCUGCAAAACUAUUCGUGGAGAAUGGAGCGUUCGUGGUGGUGGCUGACAUUCAAGAGGAAUUGGGUCUCAAAGUGGUGGCUUCCAUAGCAAGCCCUGAUGUGGACAGAGCCAUUUACAAGAACUGCGAUGUUACGGUGGAGAAGCAGGUGGAAGAAACCGUGGCUUUCGCUAUCGAAAAGUACGGCACCCUCGAUAUCAUGUACUGCAAUGCCGGGAUCCUGGGUCCAAUAGACAGCAUCCUAGACAUGGACAUGGAGGGCUUCAACCGAACCAUGGCUGUAAAUCUGAGAGGACCGGCGUUGUGCAUAAAGCAUGCUGCUCGAGCCAUGGUUAAAAGACAAGUAAGGGGAUCCAUCAUUUGCACGGCCAGCACAGCGUCCGUUCUGGGAGGGCUGUGUCCCAUUGCUUACAACACUUCGAAGCAUGGUUUGGUGGGUCUGGUUAGAGCCGCGGCAAGUGAGCUUGGGAAGCAUGGGAUAAGGAUCAAUUGUGUUUCUCCUCACCUUGUUGCCACUCCCCUGGCAAUAUCGUGGAUGUCAGCGAUGGGCAUUAACAACGCGAGCGGAAGCGGAAUUGAAUUACUAGCAAGCUCCGCAGCCAACUUGAAAGGAGUUGCAUUGAAAGCGAAGCAUGUGGCAGAGGCUGCUCUCUUCCUUGCUUCUGAUGAAUCAUCCGUUUAUGUCAGCGGUCAUAAUUUAGUUGUUGAUGGGGGUUUGACUGUCGUUGAUAAUUCUAUCACUAUGUUAAUGGAGACUGGAGACGCAGAUAAAACAGUGAUGUGAUUAUUGAUCGAUACCUCCAGUUGAUCAUUAGUACUUGAUGUGCUUUUACUAUUAUUACUAGAAAAUGCUUGUCUUUAACUGUUGGACUUCUUAAGUUUUCCAAUAACAAAUACUCCAAUUAAUAAAUAAUUGCAUUUAAGCCUUCACCUUGAUGCUGGAUUAUGUUUCUUGAUGACCUACCAGAUAAAGGCUCAAGAAUUCUUGCUGAAGCUGCUUGUUUGUGUUUAUGGAUGCUUCCAGAUAAAGGCUCACGAGUUUUUGUUGGAUGUAUUUUUUUAUUUUUUUUCUUCUUUUCUUUGGCCUUCCCUGUGAAUCAGGCUUUUUCUUGUAUCUAGAGUUGGACGCCUCGAUGUAUCCCUUUGUCGAAUUCAAUAAAAUUAUAUCUGGUAACCUUUGUAGAUAGAAAA